ACCCCACUGUCUCCCUCUUUCCAUUCCAUGACAACCUUGGACUAAACCAUGCUAACCAUUGCUAAAGCUCACAAUACGACAAGAUGGGAGAAAUGUCUGGGUCCUUGAUUGGCUUCAUAGAACAAAGCUCUCUCCACUGCCCACUAACUUUGAUUGGAUGGUGAUGUAGAGUUCAUCGUGGAGAGGACCAAGACAGAAGAUCAAGAAGAAUUUUUUUUUUAAUCUCUUCCCUUGUCCACCGAAAGACCAUCAAAACUAGAGAGAGAUUAUCAAAUGCCUGGUGACAAGUCCUCGGCUGCACUGGCUUCACAGGAGCUUAUGUGGAGAAGAAAAAGAAUUUGAGCCACAGCAACGAAACUCUAAAGUUGUUUCCAACUCUCUUACCAAAAGAGGCAUCCAGCCCAACAGCUCUCAACCUGGAGUAAAGCUCCCACGUGCCCUGUGGAGCAUCCUCGCUUUGAUUCCAUCCCUUUACUCCCAUUCAGAGAAUUCUACUUGAAUUUAAAUAAAUGACUCUUCUGCUAUUAUUGUGGUAAGCUUGAUUCUGCUGUGAUUUGAAAAGAACAAAAAAUAAAUUAUUGCAAAA
rnacentral:lncRNA from 10 species